CGGUUUGUGUAGCGCCCCCUGCCGGCAGGCCCGGCGCGGCGGCCAAGCGCGGGCGCGGACGGACUCCGGCGGGCUGCCUGGCGGCGGUGGCGAGGGCGACUUCCUGGGGCGGCGCCGCUUUCUGGAGCGCUCUUUACUCCCCGCCAUGCCCUUUCCCCUCUCUUCUGCCUCUCAGCCUAAGAGGCCCAACCCUCCACCGUGUCCCAAGAGCCCAGCCCAUAAACCCGAGUGCGUUCCUGCACGGUUCCAGCCCCUUGUAGAACCCUAAUUCCGAAGAGCUCAGAGCCCUUUCCCCGAAAAGUUCCUGGUUCUCCUCCAUGCCCAGCGCUCUUUCACGCCGGACCCUGCCCCGCGCGCCACGCCCCCCACCCAGUUCCCGCAGGCACCACCCCGGGCCCGGCCCUCUCUGAGCUGCGAGGUUGGCAGCUCCUUCUGACAGGUCUGCGCUCCCCGAGCCCCCGCCUGGUCCCCGGCUGCGCCCGACUCUGCUCCGAGGGGUGAGGCGCAGCGGCAGGGGCAAGGGCCGGGAGGCGCCAGGUGCUUGCGUCCCUCGCUCUCCGCGGCCUGGAGCCCCGCCCGGGCGUGGUGUGGACUUUCUGUAAGCGCGCGACAAAACAGAGUUUUGGGAGUCACGGUGGCCGAGUGGUUAAGGCGUUGGACUCGAAAUCCAAUGGGGUUUCCCCGCACAGGUUCGAAUCCUGUUCGUGACGGCUGCUCUUUUUCGCUUUACGACGGGUAGAAGGAGAGCUCUGGUCCUCAUGCUUGCUUGCACUUUCUGUUUCGGUCUGGAAAAGGCAUCGCAUUCCUACGAUAAGGGGGCCGAGGGUGAUCUCAGAAGCUUAGUUGUGCUGCACUGUGUUCGCUGCUAGGAUACAAGGCUUUUAAAGAAUUUUCCAACUUGACGUUUGCUAGCAGGGCUUGGGCGCACAGAUUGUUUUUAUUAAGGGGACAGCAAAGAAUUGGGUUAAGUUUUGUUUGGAAACCUGAGUGCUUGUUGCGCAGUAACAGUCAAACCUGGAGUUUCUAGGAAAGCUGAGCCUCUGAAUUUUGUGACUGGAGUCCUGCUUUGUGAGUCUGCUGACACUGAAGACCCACUGCACGGUCUGUGCCACUACUUGAGGCGUGUCAAGUAGGCAGGGCUGGGUUGGAACUACUGAAACAGACGCUGCGGCUACAAGACGGAGGGUAACUUUCUACUGAAUGCUGCUUAUGUGCCUGCUUCCAGGGAUGCUGGGAUUUCAGGACUGCACUAUUCCUCCCAGCCUCGUACUUUAUUUAUAGUGCAGCAGCACCACAGAGAGCCGCACACUCAAGGGUAAUGAGUAGUACUCGCCUGGCCCCAUCUGCUCUUCAUUAGUACCACCCCUAGCCCCCAUGUCCUUUGGGGUUUUUUUUUUUUUUUUUUUUUUGUUUGUUUGUUUGUUUUUUUUGUUGUUGUUUUUGUUUUGGUACCGGGGAUUGAACUCACGAUCUUGCAAUUGCAAGGUAGACACUUACACCACUGAGCUAAAUCCCUGGUCCCAACCCCCAUGUCCUUUAGACCCCUGCACACCCUAGCAGUGUUCAGUGUUCACCCUAGCUGGAACCCAUCAGUCUGCCAGCAGUAUUCGCCAAGUUGCCUAUAAAGAAUUUCUUGACAUGCUUCUGAAAUUUGGAAGUAAGUUCUGUUUAUCAUUCUGCCUUCUAAAUAUGUUUCAGGUCAGUCAACUUUUCUAAGGGAUGAGUGCAGGUUGAGCCUACUAUUUGUCAUGACAGUUUUGUUUUUCUUUUCAGCUUUGUGGAUCAAACCCAGGAUCAGGCAUGUGCUAGGAAGUGUUCUAUCACUGAUCCUACACCUCAGCCCAAGUGAUGUAUGUUGAGCUACACCAUGAUAAACAUAGCAGCUGCUCCAAGCUCACCUUGCCUUUGUAUUGCAUGGUCUGAAACAGACCUUUUCUCUCACCAUUCUUCCUCUCGCACUACAUUCUGUCCACCAGCAUUCUUUUUUUUUAUUAUUUUAAAGUAAAUUAAACACAACAAAACAGAACAAAAUAUGACAUAAGAAACCAAUGUAAGAGAUUAAAAAUUUCAAAGUUAGACGACCUCAGA